rnacentral:rRNA from 1 species
AUUGAACGCUGGCGGCAGGCCUAACACAUGCAAGUCGAGCGGAUGAAGGGAGCUUGCUCCUGGAUUCAGCGGCGGACGGGUGAGUAAUGCCUAGGAAUCUGCCUGGUAGUGGGGGAUAACGUCCGGAAACGGGCGCUAAUACCGCAUACGUCCUGAGGGAGAAAGUGGGGGAUCUUCGGACCUCACGCUAUCAGAUGAGCCUAGGUCGGAUUAGCUAGUUGGUGGGGUAAAGGCCUACCAAGGCGACGAUCCGUAACUGGUCUGAGAGGAUGAUCAGUCACACUGGAACUGAGACACGGUCCAGACUCCUACGGGAGGCAGCAGUGGGGAAUAUUGGACAAUGGGCGAAAGCCUGAGCCAGCCAUGCCGCGUGUGUGAAGAAGGUCUUCGGAUUGUAAAGCACUUUAAGUGGGGAGGAAGGGCAGUAAGUUAAUACCUUGCUGUUUUGACGUUACCAACAGAAUAAGCACCGGCUAACUUCGUG